AUUGAACGCUGGCGGCAGGCCUAACACAUGCAAGUCGAACGAGUGGCGGACGGGUGAGUCAUGUCUGGGAAACUGCCUGAUGGAGGGGGAUAACUACUGGAAAAGGUAGCUAAUACCACAUACCAUCGGAUGUGCACAGAUGGGAUUAGCUAGGAGGUGGGGUAAAGGCUCACCUAGGCGACGAACCCUAGCUGGGCUGAGAGGAUGACCAGCCUCAUUGGAACUGAGACACGGUCCAGACUCCUACGGUAGGCACCAGUGGGGCAGAUUGCACAAGGGGCGCAAGCCUGAUGCAGCCAUGCCGAGUGUAUGAAGAAGUCCUUCGGGUUGUAAAGUACUUUCAGCGGGGAGGCGUUACCCGCAGAAGAAGCACCGGCUAACUCCGUGCCAGCAGCCGCGGUAAUUC
rnacentral:rRNA from 1 species